rnacentral:tRNA from 1 species
UGCAUAGGCCGGGAAUCGAACCCGGGCGAGCAGGCGAGCUUUCUACCACUGAACCACCGAUGC